GGAGCGUGGCUGGAGACAAGGGAGGAGCUCAAAAUAUGGCUUCCCCUCAACCAAAGAGAGCGAGAGAGAGAGAGAGCAACAAGUCAAACAGCUUCCAGUUAUUGUCACCCACAAGGGGGAAGGCUUCCUGCCCUGAUGAACCCUAAUCCAUGGGUUCCACCUCCCUUUUAUUACAAAUAAAUGAAUAAACAGCAAAUAUCUAGCCCUUGUAAAACCCAGAUGACGAGGCGAACAUAUGCAGAUCUGUGAUGAGGAUAAUUCACUUUGAACAUGUGCAGAGACCUCUACCUAUUUACAGCUGACCUCUAAAAUCUAAAAGAGAUAAGGAGUGAGCUGUACAUACUAACAAGCAAAGGGGAAAUGGCUGCUGAGCUGCACCCACCAUUGUGAGGCCUGAGGAGGUGAUGAUGAUGGUGCCUCUCCAGCUGCUGUGAUUGGCUGUGGACGCCCCGUGAUGUCACAAAAGCACAUGGCAACUCAGUGGAUAUACAAAAGUGGCCCAAGGGGAAAGCCAAGGCAAAAGCUUGAAGAGGACACAGUGGACAGCAGCUGUGUUAUUCAGUACUUGGUGGUCUCCUUCCACAUGGAGGCAAAGUGGCAAAUGGAAGGAGGCCAUCAUCCGUUAAUGAGAUGCUGUGGAGCAACGUGAAGGCAAGUGUACCUGCUGAGCAGGACCGUGGCUUGAAAGCGGCAGAUAUCUAUGGUUGGAAGCUGGCGAUGGACCUGGCAGAAGCCGGUAGGUGUUGGUGGGCGAAAGCUGUGAUUAGCAUGUGGAUGCCCGGGAUGCCGCAGGGCUGAAGGAGGCUGAAGUUUGUGUAUGUAAGCUGAUUGAAAUUCACCUUCAGAAGGCUGUUGACAAAAGCUGUGUGGAUAUUUGUGGAUUGAUGCUGGGGGUAAGUAUGAAUGGAGAGUGGACAUAGGUCACCCACCAGACAAGGUUGCCUGGGAAUUGCAUGCUCAGAUAGCGGUGUAGGCUACCCUCCAGGCUCUGGGUGAAUGAACCACUGGAUAUUCAUGGGUGGAAGCCAGUGGAGGUUGACAGGUUGGCCAGUGGAGGUGGCUGGAUGAUACUGUUGAAUGAGGGCCAUUCCCCUCACCAUAUCUGUGUUUGCCUUUCAUGGAUGUCAGAAGCCGAUGAGGGUUUCCCCGAAAGCAGCAAUGAAGGGGACAGCAGAGCUUAAGCAAGCCAUCUUCUACUUCUAAAUCAAUGUAUUUCUACAUACAUCUAAGUAAUGUUCAUUACAUUCCCCUUUCCAGUACCAGGAUGGGAGGCUGUGCCGCUGCAUCCCCAGCAGUUGCCGCUGGCUACAAACUUCCUGUGAUGUCGCAAAUGGACAGGGUGGCUGAGGGGAAAAAAAGCAGUUACUAGUGGAAGGUGGUUGGAAGAAGGGAGAAACCCCAGUAGAAGGUUCAGGGGAAGUUGGGGUAGGCAGGGAGGGCCAGCUGGAUAUGCAGAAGUUGAAUAUGGGCUGACUCCCUUCCGUCUACCUGCAUUGCCAAUGUUUUCUUCUCUCAGGCUCCUGUACCUGUCUCGCCUAGACUGCUUGGCAGAGCCCCAGCCCUUUAACGGUUCCUGCAUUUCUGCAGAGAGCCAAAAACUGUGGGAAAUAAUAAUAAAAACCAACAACCCUGCCUGGCGUCCCCACGUCCACUGGAUCAAAUAAGUCCCAUUUGUUGAAUAUGAUAAGGAAAGCGGAGGAAGUUAAAGGCAUAGUAGUUGGAACUAAAGAAUGUAAGUUAAAAGCCUUUGCUGAUGAUUUGGUAUUGACUUUACAGGACCCUGAGACCAGUGCAAUCAAAGCACUGAAGAUAAUUCAAGAGUUUGGACAAGUUGCAGAUGUCAAAUUGAAUAAGAAUAAAACCAAAGUGUUAGAAAAAAAAUUAACAAUACAGGAAAAACUUAAUUUAGAGGAAACCACAGGGCUGAAGUUUGCGAAAAAGGUGAAAUAUCUGGGUGUAAAUAUGACUGCAAAAAAUUUGAAUUUGUACAAAGAUAACUAUGAAAAGUUAUGGAAAGAUAUCAAGAGAGAUUUGGAUAUCUGGACAAGGUUGAAACUAUCUUUGCUGGGCCGAAUUUCUGAGAUAAAGAUGAAUGUAUUGCCUAAGUUGUUAUUUUUGUUCCAAGUACUUCCUGUCAUUGAUAAAUUGAAUUGUUUUAAGGAAUGGCAAAAGGUAUUAUCUAAAUUUAUCUGGCAGG